UACGUAGGGUGCGAGCGUUAAUCGGAAUUACUGGGCGUAAAGCGUGCGCAGGCGGUUUUGUAAGCCAGAUGUGAAAUCCCCGGGCUUAACCUGGGAAUGGCAUUUGGGACUGCAAGGCUCGAGUGCGGCAGAGGAGACUGGAAUUCCUGGUGUAGCAGUGAAAUGCGUGGAUAUCGAUAGGAACACUCGUGGCGAAGGCGAGCUACUGGACAACAUCUGACGCUGAGGCUCGAAGGCCAGGGGAGCAAAAGGG
rnacentral:rRNA from 1 species